CAGUGGGGAAUAUUGCACAAUGGGGGAAACCCUGAUGCAGCCAUGCCGCGUGUGUGAAGAAGGCCUUCGGGUUGUAAAGCACUUUCAGUAGGGAGGAAGGUAGUGUAGUUAACACCUGCAUUAUUUGACGUUACCUACAGAAGAAGCACCGGCUAACUCCGUGCCAGCAGCCGCGGUAAUACGGAGGGUGCGAGCGUUAAUCGGAAUUACUGGGCGUAAAGCGCAUGCAGGCGGCCUGUUAAGUCAGAUGUGAAAGCCCGGGGCUUAACCUCGGAAUUGCAUUUUGAAACUGGCAGACUAGAGUACUGUAGAGGGGGUAGAAUUUCAGGUGUAGCGGUGAAAUGCGUAGAGAUCUGAAGGAAUACCGGUGGCGAAGGCGGCCCCCUGGACAGAUACUGACACUCAGAUGCGAAAGCGUGGGGAGCAAACAGGAUUAGAUACCCUGGUAG
rnacentral:rRNA from 1 species